GGGUGAGUAACACGUGAGUAACCUGCCCCUGACUCUGGGAUAAGCCUGGGAAACCGGGUCUAAUACCGGAUACGACCAUUUCUCGCAUGGGAUGGUGGUGGAAAGUUUUUUCGGUUGGGGAUGGGCUCGCGGCCUAUCAGCUUGUUGGUGGGGUGAUGGCCUACCAAGGCGACGACGGGUAGCCGGCCUGAGAGGGCGACCGGCCACACUGGGACUGAGACACGGCCCAGACUCCUACGGGAGGCAGCAGUGGGGAAUAUUGCGCAAUGGGCGGAAGCCUGACGCAGCGACGCCGCGUGGGGGAUGACGGCCUUCGGGUUGUAAACCUCUUUCAGCAGGGACGAAGUUGACGUGUACCUGUAGAAGAAGCGCCGGCUAACUACGUGCCAGCAGCCGCGGUAAUACGUAGGGCGCGAGCGUUGUCCGGAAUUAUUGGGCGUAAAGAGCUCGUAGGUGGCUUGUUGCGUCUGCCGUGAAAGCCCGUGGCUUAACUACGGGUCUGCGGUGGAUACGGGCAGGCUAGAGGCUGGUAGGGGCAAGCGGAAUUCCUGGUGUAGCGGUGAAAUGCGCAGAUAUCAGGAGGAACACCGGUGGCGAAGGCGGCUUGCUGGGCCAGUUCUGACGCUGAGGAGCGAAAGC
rnacentral:rRNA from 1 species